rnacentral:rRNA from 1 species
AUUGAACGCUGGCGGCAGGCCUAAUACAUGCAAGUCGAACGAGUGGCGGACGGGUGAGUAAUGUCUGGGAAACUGCCUGAUGGAGGGGGAUAACUACUGGAAACGUUAGCUAAUACCGCAUACCACCAGAUGUGACCAGAUGGGUUUAGCUGGUUGGUGGGGUAACGGCUCACCAAGGCGACGAUCCAUAGCUGGUCUGAGAGGAUGACCAGCCACACUGGAACUGAGACACGGUCCAGACUCCUACGGGAGGCAGCAGUGGGGAAUAUUUCGCAAUGGGCGCAAGCCUGAUGCAGCCAUGCCGCGUGUAUGAAGAAGGCCUUCGGGUUGUAAAGUACUUUCAGCAGGGAAGCGUUACCCGCAGAAGAAGCACCGGCUAACUCCGUGCCAGCAGCCGCGGUAAUAC